rnacentral:pre_miRNA from 11 species
UCUAAAAGCAGGUAAGCCACUGACUAACGCACAUUGUGCCAGUGUCCAAAUUCACUGUGCGUGUGACAGCGGCUAACCUGGUUUUGGGAGCACUUCUC